CCCGGCGGUGUGGACGUGUUCAGAGAGAGACGAGCGUCCAGCCGAGGACGCACAGGACGAGACUCUCCUCGCUCCGCAGCAUUGCUCCAGCACAGGUUUCACACGAUGGCCGGUGAUGCCGGAGGUUUACCGUGUUCACACCUGCAGAACUACGAUCCGGACCGCGCUCUCACGGACUACAUCUCCCGUCUGGAGGCUCUUCAGAGACGGCUGGGGAGUGUGACGACAGGUUCCUCUUCGUACGCUCAAUUGCACUUUGGAGUCAGAAGAUGAAGGUCUACAUUUACAUUGAAACUGGCUUGAAGAAUCUCAGUUGCCUUCUCUUGUGCUGAGCUGCUGUGCUUUUGUAUUCUGAUGAUAAACCUGUACAAUUCUGUGGGACCAAAACCAUGUUUGUUUUCUGUCUUUGUGUGUGUGUGUGUGUGUGUGUGUGUGUGUGUGUGUGUGUGUGUGUGUGUGUGUGUGUGUGUGUGUGAGUGAAUCAUCUUAUAAUCAAGCUUUCGUUGGCAGCACUUGAAACGGCUUCAACGUCUGUACAUUAGUUCUACUUUAUUGCAAUCACGUUACUAUAUAUUUGUGGAAUGCUAAUUUAAGUUGAUUAAUUUAAUGGAGACGUGUUGAGAGAGUUUGGACCAGGACGGCUGCUAUCGGACUCUGGAUAACACGAGGCUUUACUCGUCACAAACACUAACGAGGCUCGUUAAGGCUUUGCUCGAGCUGUAACGUGUCGGUGUUAUCAGAUACUCUACACUGUGUUUAAUUCGCUCGCUCCCGUGGAAAGACAACAGAGGACAUUUGUAGAAGACAUAUUUUUGUAAAGGUUGGAGCGUCUGGGUAUUUUGUCAAAACUCAAAUAAAGAUUAAUAUAAUAUUUAAAAACUGC